UGGGGAAUAUUGGACAAUGGGCGAAAGCCUGAUCCAGCCAUGCCGCGUGUGUGAAGAAGGUCUUCGGAUUGUAAAGCACUUUAAGUUGGGAGGAAGGGUUGUAGAUUAAUACUCUGCAAUUUUGACGUUACCGACAGAAUAAGCACCGGCUAACUCUGUGCCAGCAGCCGCGGUAAUACAGAGGGUGCAAGCGUUAAUCGGAAUUACUGGGCGUAAAGCGCGCGUAGGUGGUUAGUUAAGUUGGAUGUGAAAUCCCCGGGCUCAACCUGGGAACUGCAUUCAAAACUGACUGACUAGAGUAUGGUAGAGGGUGGUGGAAUUCCCUGUGUAGCGGUGAAAUGCGUAGAUAUAGGAAGGAACACCAGUGGCGAAGGCGACCACCUGGACUGAUACUGACACUGAGGUGCGAAAGCGUGGGGAGCAAACA
rnacentral:rRNA from 1 species